GGAUGUGAGGGCGAUCUGGCUGCGACAUCUGUCACCCCAUUGAUCGCCAGGGUUGAUUCGGCUGAUCUGGCUGGCUAGGCGGGUGUCCCCUUCCUCCCUCACCACUCCAUGUGCGUCCCUCCUGAAGUUGUGCGCUCGGUGGAAGAGGACAACGUCCCAGGUAUAGAAGGAGUGUACCAAGGUCUCCAGUCUUCGGUCCCAGGUAUACGAUAGCUUUGUACAUGCUUUGUUUCAAGAGACAUUUCAAUUCCCCUUCUGAAUGUUAAGGUUUGCUAAGAGCUGAAUAUAUAAAAACACAUUUUCUAGUGCCACCUCUUAUCAACAGUACCAUAUAUAAUUUUGA
rnacentral:snRNA from 1 species